rnacentral:rRNA from 1 species
AUUGAACGCUGGCGGCAGGCCUAACACAUGCAAGUCGGACGGUAGCACAGAGGAGCUUGCUCCUUGGGUGACGAGUGGCGGACGGGUGAGUAAUGUCUGGGGAUCUGCCCGAUAGAGGGGGAUAACCACUGGAAACGGUGGCUAAUACCGCAUAACGUCGCAAGACCAAAGAGGGGGACCUUCGGGCCUCUCACUAUCGGAUGAACCCAGAUGGGAUUAGCUAGUAGGCGGGGUAAUGGCCCACCUAGGCGACGAUCCCUAGCUGGUCUGAGAGGAUGACCAGCCACACUGGAACUGAGACACGGUCCAGACUCCUACGGGAGGCAGCAGUGGGGAAUAUUGCACAAUGGGCGCAAGCCUGAUGCAGCCAUGCCGCGUGUAUGAAGAAGGCCUUCGGGUUGUAAAGUACUUUCAGCGGGGAGGAAGGCGGUGAGGUUAAUAACCUUGCCGAUUGACGUUACCCGCAGAAGAAGCACCGGCUAACUCCGUACCAGCCGCCGCAGUAA